CCGAGAAAGGAAAUGUUAGAUCAAUAUAUCGAUACAAUAUGCUGUUUUGUUUGUUUUUGACUAUUUUAGUCUGUUCGGUGCAAUUUUUGACGUUGUAACUUGCGCGUAAGUCUUUCAUUUGGACUCUGGCGAUAGUCCAGAUUUUACGCGCAUUGAUACAAGUGGAGUGCUUCUACCCUGUGUGGAAUCCAGUCAGUACAGGGCGGCCAUAAACCAUGUGUGAGGUGAGGCGGAUAUUUGCCACGACUGAAAGUGUCUUUGCAUUUUAGAUCAACCCUGAGGUGUUCAGCAUGACACAUGAAUGUGGUGAUCUCUGGAGUGUUCCUUAGAAUAGAAGUGUGGCAAAUCGCCUCAAUAUCCAGAGCAGGAUGCUGUCACAACACUACCAGCCUCUUGACUAGAUCAAGAGCAGCGGCUGCAACUACUCUUCUGUACACCCAGAUACAAACAUAAGAAGCAAAAUUAUUGGAAACGGCAGGACAUCCAGCUUACUCAUGGUUUGUUUAGCUUGGUCUGUUAUUACAGCUGUCCAGCCUCUUGGAAACCCAGACUUCGGGGACUGUGCCUCUGGCUCAGUGGGGGCUGGUUCAUCUAAGUUAGACGGGUUUGCUGGAUGUCGAGGCCACAAAUGAUGUUUCAUUCAUUUUGCUGUCGUCCCUAGUGUUAUGCUAACUCUUGAAAAUAAACUACAGAAAUAUUUUGUAAGCAGCCUCUU